rnacentral:rRNA from 1 species
AGUGAACGCUGGCGGUAGGCCUAACACAUGCAAGUCGAACGGCAGCACAGUAAGAGCUUGCUCUUACGGGUGGCGAGUGGCGGACGGGUGAGGGAUACAUCGGAAUCUACUUUUUCGUGGGGGAUAACGUAGGGAAACUUACGCUAAUACCGCAUACGACCUACGGGUGAAAGCAGGGGAUCUUCGGACCUUGCGCGAUUGAAUGAGCCGAUGUCGGAUUAGCUAGUUGGCGGGGUAAAGGCCCACCAAGGCGACGAUCCGUAGCUGGUCUGAGAGGAUGAUCAGCCACACUGGAACUGAGACACGGUCCAGACUCCUACGGGAGGCAGCAGUGGGGAAUAUUGGACAAUGGGCGCAAGCCUGAUCCAGCCAUACCGCGUGGGUGAAGAAGGCCUUCGGGUUGUAAAGCCCUUUUGUUGGGAAAGAAAAGCAGCAGGUUAAGACCCCGCUGUUCUGACGGUACCCAAAGAAUAAGCACCGGCUAACUUCGU